UAAAACUACUCUGCGCGCGCAUCACGCUUCAAAUUGCUCAACUGCGAUAGGUGCGCAUUAUCGACCGGAGUAUCGAUCGCAGAGACGUACCGUAUCGAUUCUUAAAAUCAUCAAAAGGAAGCAAUACCGCGAAAGUAGUAUCGUGCCGUAAACAUAUCUUCUUUUCUGUUGAUUUUACUGCUCCGAACAAUCGAAUUGUCUGUCUUUUAAACAACUACGUACUAUGUGUACGUACUUAUCUGAAAUAAUUUGUUGAUUUGAUGCGGAAAAUAUUGGUUAGGCUACGGCGGUUUACGCUGGAUUCGUGAUUUCGAGACUUUGGUUUUGACAAGUGAAAUAUCUAAAAACUGUAACGUAUGCAUUCAUAAGAAACCAUAUAUUUGUCCCAAUCUGUCUAUAAGAACACGCAUUCGCCAUAACUGUAGUUUAAUUGUGGGACCGUGUUAGUAAGUCGGUGGUUUAAAAAAAGUACUCGUUAAAAUUUGUACGCGCAUAAUCAGGUUAACCAACAAGUCGAACGAUGUGUAGCGUAUAUUUUCGCUCGAAUAAUUGAUCGUCGAGCAAAUUGCGUACGCAGGAAGAGUCCACAACAUUGGAGAAUGUCAAUAACAGUCAAAAUACAGAGCAACGGUCGACCACAACAGAACAUUUUAAAGGAGGACAAAUUAUAUCGAUCUUUAUUUACAUGUAUCUAUGGCGUGACUGGUCGGGUUCUACCGGACCGGAUAUGCUACAACCUGAAAUCUUGCAAUCCCCUUUAAUCUGCAGCGUAACCGCGUAACUAAAUGAAAUUCAGAGAUAACAAGCAACUAGUCACCCAGUUGCUUUCUAAGACAGCGAUCUGAGAAGUAGGAACUUUCAAAAACUGAAAAGGGAAAGGAUAAAGGCAGUCGAAAUGUGCAGGAUAGCAUGGGAAGAAACUUUUCGCACAACAAAGACUUACUCGCGGAAACUUGACAUCGACUUGGUCCUUUUUCUUCAAAACGAUAAAUUCGGACCACCGGCUUCUUCCUCUCCAAAUGUAUUCCGGAAUAUUGUGAUUUAUCGGCGUCGCAAAGUAGACGACGCGCACCGAAUGGAUUAACGUUUCGGAUGUUAUAGCUCAUUCUAUCCGGCAUCGGCCUAUACGCGGCAUAACAAUGCGAGUUUUGCGUGGAAACGAGGUUAAAGAAAGGGGAAUGCAAGUCGAAUACCGAAGGGAAUAAGCAAUUUCUCUAAAAAAUCUUGUUAGCUACAAAAAAAAGAAAAUUAAAUUCUAUCUAUUCAUAGUUGGUAAAACAUUAAACUUGUACAAAUUAAUGUAAAUUACCGUGUAAAGGUAAUUCAACUAUUUGAUCAUUUACCUUGAAAGAAGCGUGCAGACAGUCGAUAUCACAGUCAAUAUUUAAGCUUCUCAACGUUGUAUUGACAAUAUUAUGUUGAUCGUCUUGAGCAUCUCUUACGUGCCAUAAUGUCAAGAACCUUUAAUAUUGACAAUAAUAUUGAUCGGCCGAACGCUCCUUAACUCUUCCCCCUCCAAUCUUUCUUCCUAGUCAUUUGUGAACUUUGAAAAAUUACAUCGAAAAUAUAGAUAGAUUUUGAAAACCAAAGCAAAGAGGCGAAAGAACGAAAAGUCUUUGUUUACAUUCCGAAUAUAAAUAAAAUAUUAGUGAACAAAUUAAACUGUAAAUUGUACGUGAACGAGUGUCGGAUGAGUCACGUACUGCCAUCUAUUGCAGAUGUAAGGAACAGCGACUUAGAAUAUGCGAGGAUAGAUGGCAGUACAUGGCUUAUCCGAAAUGUAUAGAGUGUCCAUAUUCAUAGCAUACCACGCAUACACAGAAAGAGAAACUUUCUAUCUUCCAUGUUGAUUUUUCAUGAUUCUUCCAUGUUUAAUUUUUGGACGGUUUUUUCUAUGGUUUCGAUAAAGAGGAAAUUUUCUCUCUGCUUUCGGUACAAAAGUGUCAAGAAACGAGACUAGUUUGUUUUAUUAGCAUACCCUUAUAUAUCUAAUAUCGCGAGUGUUGCAAUGGUUUCAUGAAUUAGUUCUUACCAAUUAUUCAUUUACAUAGAUAUCUAAAAGUUAUACUUUUUGAAAUUACCAACUGUUUUACAAAAUUUUUAGACUCGUUAGCCCGGUUAUAUUACAGUAAUUUGUAUUUCAUAGUGUUACAAGAGAAGAAAAAAUAAACAGAGAUUUUUUGUAAAAUGAAUAUUUUAUUCCAAUGAAAAUUCAUACACAGCUUUUUAUUCUGUUUAAGAAUAAAUUUCACCACAAAAUAAGUGUAAGCACAUUUAAACCGAUUACGUAUGAUAAAUACAAAUAAUUGAAAACGAAUCUCUUUAUGUUAAAACCGGUUUUUCCACAUUUUUCUUUUUUUUUUUAAAUAAAUUACAGCGGAGAUUUCCCA